rnacentral:rRNA from 1 species
GUCCACACCGUAACGUUGGGCGCUAGGUGUGGGCCUAUUCCAUGGGUUCCGUGCCGCAGCUAACGCAUUAAGCGCCCCGCCUGGGGAGUACGGCCGCAAGGCUAAACUCAAAGGAAUUGACGGGGCCCGCACAAGCGGCGGAGCAUGCGGAUUAAUUCGAUGCAACGCGAAGAACCUUACCUGGGUUUGACAUACGCCGGAAAGCCAUAGAGAUAUGGCCCCCUUUUAGUCGGUGUACAGGUGGUGCAUGGCUGUCGU